CUUUUAAGCCGUUUGCUUAGCAACCAAAGGUUUGAUCCACCAAAGAAUUGAGGUAUUACCAUUCUAAGAAAAGCAAGAAAAAUUCCAUAUAAUUUGAUUUUCUUGUGUUUAUUAAUUUAUUUUCAAAAACAAUAACAAGACCUACAGCCUGAAGCAACCAUAAAAAGGGAAAAGAAAAACAAACAAUAUCCAAGUCUUCUAGUUGACUAUAGUCAGCACACUUUACAGCCCCAAAACAAUAUGAGCAACCAUGAAAAACAAACAAUAUAAAGUCUUGUAAUUGACUGUAGUCAGCAUACUUUCAAAUAAUAGAAAAUUAAAAGCAAUUAAAAGAAACUGAUCACUAAAAACAAUUAACAGAAACUAAUACCGAAUCCAAAUUCCCUUCAAUCCAGCAAACACUGGGAUCAAAACAUGUAAGAUAGAAACAAGAUGCACACAACA
rnacentral:misc_RNA from 1 species